rnacentral:rRNA from 1 species
AUUGAACGCUGGCGGAAUGCUUUACACAUGCAAGUCGAACGGUAGAGGGGGCAACCCCUCGAGAGUGGCGAACGGGUGAGUAAUAUAUCGGAACGUGCCCAGUCGUGGGGGAUAACGUAGCGAAAGUUACGCUAAUACCGCAUACGAUCUAUGGAUGAAAGCGGGGGACCUUAGGGCCUCGCGCGAUUGGAGCGGCCGAUGUCAGAUUAGCUAGUUGGUGGGGUAAAGGCCCACCAAGGCGACGACGGGUAGCCGGCCUGAGAGGGUGACCGGCCACACUGGAACUGAGAUACGGUCCAGACUCCUACGGGAGGCAGCAGUGGGGAAUAUUGCACAAUGGGCGCAAGCCUGAUGCAGCAACGCCGCGUGAGGGAUGAAGGCCUCGGUUGUAACCUCUUUAGCAGGAAGAAGCGAAAGUG